rnacentral:rRNA from 1 species
GAUGAACACUGGCGGCGUGCCUAACACAUGCAAGUCGAGCGAACCCUUCGGGGUGAGCGGCGGACGGGUGAGUAACGCGUGGGUAACCUGCCCUGUACACGCGGAUAACAUACCGAAAGGUAUGCUAAUACGGGAUAAUAUAUGAGAGUCGCAUGGCUUUUAUAUCAAAGCUCCGGCGGUACAGGAUGGACCCGCGUCUGAUUAGCUAGUUGGUAAGGUAACGGCUUACCAAGGCAACGAUCAGUAGCCGACCUGAGAGGGUGAUCGGCCACAUUGGAACUGAGACACGGUCCAAACUCCUACGGGAGGCAGCAGUGGGGGAUAUUGCACAAUGGGCGAAAGCCUGAUGCAGCAACGCCGCGUGAGCGAUGAAGGCCUUCGGGUCGUAAAGCUCUUUCAGUAGGGACGAUAAUGACGGUACCUACAGAAGAAGCCCCGGCUAACUUCGUGCCAGCAGCCGCAGUAAAAC